UCUUUGAAAUAUAUCCUCUAUAAUAGAUGAGUGCCUAAUGUAGUAGUUUGCUCAGCACCACUCAGGUUUAACUGAGUUUCACUUUCGAGGCAAUUGGUACCAGUUUCUUAUUAUUUUUGUACAGAAUCUGGGUUGGGAUACUGGAGUCUCUUGGAAACUUAAGUUUGGGGAAAUGGGUUCCUCAUAUAUUCUCCCUUGCUAUUUGAAAUCGAUGUGGGCAAAUCACUUAACCUUUAUAGGGCCUAAGUUUCUAGGGCUGUGAAAUGAAAAAAACUGAAUCUAAUCCCCUUUCUGGUAUAAAAUCAGAUGAUUCUAUGAUCAGGAUGGCCUCAGCACUUCUUAACCACUCAUUUCCUUAUCCACAGUUCAGAACUACUGAUUCUCCACUUACCCCUCAACUCUGCGUCUCCUUCCAGUAACCCAAAGUUAGACUCACCCGCACUCACCAGUAGAAAAUAUGGGCUCUACGAGAAUCUGUGAAACCCAUCAUUCUUGUGUUCAGUUCUCUCACCCCAUUUUUAGUGUUUUCCUCGGAUGCCUGGUUAUUGUCCUUUAAGUGGAUGUUCAGGGCCCACCACUCAGCUCUGCACUCCACAGAGAAUACCCUGGACUUUGAACUCCUCCUCUUAUGAAACAUGGAGAAGUUACUGAAAUGCAGAUUUUGAUUCAACAAAAGGAGGAAUUUAUAACGGUUAAGUCAGUUAAGACCAAAAAGAAAAUGGAAGGCCAGGUACAGAGGCUCACACCUGUAAUCCCAGUACUGUGGCAGACCAAGGAUAGAGGAUUGCUUGAGUCCAGGAGUUCAAGACCAGCCUGGACAACAAGGCGAGACCUCAUCUCCAGAAAAAGUAAAAAAUUAGCCAGGCGUGGUGGCACACACCUGUAGUCCCAGCUACUCAGGAGGCUGAGGCAGGAGGAUUGCUUGAGCAAGGGAGGUUGAGGCUGCAGUGAGCCAUGAUCAUGCCACUGCACUCCAUCCUGAGCAACAGAACAAGACCCUGUCUAAAAAAGAAAAGAAAGAACAUGGAAACGACUACCGUGAGAAGUUCUAAGUUGUCUGUUAUUCAGAAUGUCCCCGAAUAAGUUGAUUAAUAACUUUAAAAGCAUUUGAAUGGAGAGGGGAUUUGGACUAAAUCAGAAGUUUUCAAAUUUCUUAUAGCUAGGAAACCCUUUCCUUUAAAUAAAGCUCAGUUACAAAACAUA
rnacentral:lncRNA from 1 species